UUUGGGAAAUGAUGCUAAAUUCAAUAACAUUUCUUAAGCGCUUGCUAUGUUGAGUGGUCCUUAUAUUUUGCACGUCAGUCUGAUCCCAAG